rnacentral:lncRNA from 1 species
GUGUCUGCCUGGCCCAGCCUUCUCUACAGUUGACUACCCUGGCCCUAUCCCUGCUGCAUUAUUCAGGGCAUUCAGGCAGAAAAAGGCCAGAGAAGAAAGAAACUAGGUCAAGCAUCCUUAUUCCGAGUGUCUCACCUGAAUUGCCUGCCCAGCCUCUGUGGAGGCAGAGCAAUUAAAGCAUUUACUCCAUAUGGGUAAAUGGGCUAAAAAGUCACUGCCAUUAGUAGGGAGGGUCAGGAUUACAUUAGGGAGACUGUCUUUAGGGGACAUCCUCUCUUCCUUCAGGUUGGAAGAAAAAGUUGUGGACUCCUUUGUGAAAAUCAAGGGAGAAAUCAUCUUCUCUGGUCAACAUCUCUUGGAAUCUGUGCUUGGUCAGUGGAGUUGAAUGUGAACAUAGGAGCCAUUCUGUCACCAGAAGGACCAUCCAGGACCCUACCCUGCAUUUACUUCAGGAAUCAAGAAUCACUGUAUAUUCUGAAAGGUUCUGUGGCUUCCUUAAUGCCAAUGGUAAUAAAACUAGAAAUGCUGCCCCCAGAAUAU